rnacentral:rRNA from 1 species
GUGAGUAACACGUGAGCAAUCUGCCCCUGACUCUGGGAUAAGCGCUGGAAACGGCGUCUAAUACCGGAUACGAGCUGCGAAGGCAUCUUCAGCAGCUGGAAAGAAUUUCGGUCAGGGAUGAGCUCGCGGCCUAUCAGCUUGUUGGUGAGGUAAUGGCUCACCAAGGCGUCGACGGGUAGCCGGCCUGAGAGGGUGACCGGCCACACUGGGACUGAGACACGGCCCAGACUCCUACGGGAGGCAGCAGUGGGGAAUAUUGCACAAUGGGCGCAAGCCUGAUGCAGCAACGCCGCGUGAGGGACGACGGCCUUCGGGUUGUAAACCUCUUUUAGCAGGGAAGAAGCGAAAGUGACGGUACCUGCAGAAAAAGCACCGGCUAACUACGUGCCAGCAGCCGCGGUAAUACGUAGGGUGCAAGCGUUAUCCGGAAUUAUUGGGCGUAAAGAGCUCGUAGGCGGUUUGUCACGUCUGCUGUGAAAACGCGAGGCUCAACCUCGCGCCUGCAGUGGGUACGGGCAGACUAGAGUGCGGUAGGGGAGAUUGGAAUUCCUGGUGUAGCGGUGGAAUGCGCAGAUAUCAGGAGGAACACCGAUGGCGAAGGCAGAUCUCUGGGCCGUAACUGACGCUGAGGAGCGAAAGGGUGGGGAGCAAACAGGCUUAGAUACCCUGGUAGUCCACCCCGUAAACGUUGGGAACUAGUUGUGGGGUCCAUUCCACGGAUUCCGUGACGCAGCUAACGCA